GUCACCUGUUACCUCGUGUUAAUCCUUGCGAUGAACAUCAACACGACCCGGUAGUGGAGGGGCGCUAGCUACAUGCAUCCCACACUAUACAAGAAGACACUGAGUUUCAAGAUGAGCCCUGUGCCCAAGCCGUAGUUGUUUGCAGAGGCAGAAACAAGGCUCAAGAGCUUGCCUGCAGCCAAGUGUUAGAAAUGCAUGAAGACCCACUCAGAAGCUGGUGGGAUGGCUCCAUGACAAAGCCUAAGGAUCAGAGUUCAGAUCCCCCGGACCCACUGAAAAUCUGGGCAGGGCAGGAUGCUGAGGAUUCCAUAUGGCAAAGGACUGAAGAGGGAAUGGGAUUGAGGAAGCCUGGGCCCCUGACCUCACUCAGUGUCCCUGGCUCCAGCGCCAUGCUGACUCAAAGGAGAAGUCAGAGCUGCUGUUUCUCCAAACUGCUCCAUCUCCCCAGAGCUCUUCAUAGAUCCGUUCAGUUGUUCACAGCUUGAAUAAGCGAGCGCUGUCAUGAAACAGCCUUCCAGCAGCCUCCAUCUUCACGGCCACUGCCAUGUGGCCACAGGCUGCCCCAGAUGCCUUCACGAGCUGCCCUGACUGACAUGGAGAUGGAGAGUCCGCAUCUGGUCCCCAGCAUAGAGUGGUUGAGCGUCCUGCUAA